rnacentral:rRNA from 1 species
CGCUGAUGUUUGAUGCCGUGUCAAGCAUCCGACGAACCCCCCCGAUGGAUAAGAGCACCCCGACGCCUCUGGACAAACCCUCGCCCCGUUCCCCCCUCUCCGUCGCUCGUCCUCUUCUGUGCAACGCGCGCAGCCGCAGCCGUUGCCACGGCCUUGCCGUCCGCGUGGCCAACGUCGUCCCCGCGCCAAAUUAGCUUGUUCCCCCGGCUCCCCCUUCGUCGUCUACAUCACCUACGAGGACCAGCUCGAGCCCCCUCGCGCUGCAUCGCCUGGAUCGAGUCAUCUUCUACCUCCGGUCGCCACUCAUCGCCGCUUCGAUUUGUCGCCUCCAAGCCUUCCCCGAGCUUGCUUUGCACCUCUACAGGUUCGCGGCUCUGAGACCGUUGCCGAUACCCCUGUGAUCGACUACAUCGACGACGACCCCUUCUUCUUGCCAGAGCAACCAGG